rnacentral:lncRNA from 1 species
GGGGCCAAAAAUUAUAUUUCUUAUAUUCAAAUGGAAGUUCUGUGCAAAUGAACAAUAUGCCUUAUUCCUAGGCAUCUUCUUUAAAACAAUUCUGGAAUUAAUAUCAAGGCAGUUUGUAACAUGGCAAUGGGUGGAGUCACAGAAUGAUGGUCAAUUUCUCUUUCUGAUUCAGUAUUUCUUCUCAGGAAUCAGGAAAUUUUUUUUAUAUAAAUCUAUACCUAUACAUGAUUUCUAGAUCAUUUACUGACUGAAGACAUGAGUUUGCAAUAAUGGCAGCGAUGACAAGCUCUGGAGCUACCUGAGUUUCUAUUUUAUGCAGGACCAGGCUUGGACUAUUAUGAAUGUUGCUGAACACUGUUAAUCAAGCUUACACAGCUAUUUUGAUGGCAAACAAUUAGAACUCUGAAGCAAUACCUUGCAAUUAGCUUCAGGGAUAUGGACCUCAGCACCGUAAUAAUGAAAGAGACCUUCUCCUUCAAGCAAGAGGAAUCUUACUUCCCUGCUGCGAUUUGGGCUGCACUGAAAAUCAUAAAGCACCAGCCAACUCUGAAUUCCCUUGAAGACUUGCUGUAUUUGCAUAAAAAACAAAAUCUUUUUGUUUAUAUUGUACCUCUACAUUUUUUUUUGCACAAGAGUUUACUGGAGCCUGAUCUCAUGUCAAAUUUCAAAGCACAAUGACUCUGAAGAAGGAAGGGAAGUGCAUUUUUCUUCACAUUCCUGAAAUGU